rnacentral:lncRNA from 1 species
UCCAGUAUUAUUGAGCAAAGUAUAUAUCACAUUCUCACACACAUUCUUCUCAAUGUGCAUAAGGUCUAGAUUAUGACGCAACAAGUUAGAUUCCCAAUAAGGAAGAUCAAAAAAUAUUCUUCUCUUUCUCCACUGUUUCGGUCUAUCUUCAGCAAUAGUUUUUCCUCGAGUUCUUUUACCUUUGGCAUUCGACUCAGGUACUUUCUAUGAACCUUCAGUCUAUCUUCAGCAAUAGUUUUUCCUCGAGUUCUUUUACCUUUGGCAUUCGACUCAGGUACUUUCCCAAAAUUGGCAUUG